rnacentral:pre_miRNA from 1 species
UCAGAUUUCAAGUUUGUGCGUGAAUCUGAUGAGUUGAGUACGCACUUGAUCUGGGGGAUGUUGAUAGUCAAUUCUAUCAACAUUUUCCUGAUUUGAUAAUCAAUCGGUGUUGUAUUAGUUUGUUAGAUUCACGCACAAACUCGUAAUCUGUCU